AGGAUGCUUUUGGGCGCGGGUGCCCUUUCCGAGUUCCCUGGAACGGGGCGCCAUAGAGGGUGAGAGCCCCCGUCUGGUUGGAUACCAAGCCUUUGUAAAGCUCCUUCGACGAGUCGAGUAGUUUGGGAAUGCUGCUCUAAAUGGGAGGUAUAUGUCUUCUAAAGCUAAAUACCGGCCAGAGACCGAUAGCGCCCAAGUAGAGUGAUCGAAAGAUGAAAAGCACUUUGGAAAGAGAGUUAAACAGCACGUGAAAUUGUUAAAAGGGAAGCGUUUAUGACCAGACUUGGGCGGGUUAAUCAUCCAGCGUUCUCGCUGGUGCACUUUGCCGGUCCAGGCCAGCAUCAGUUCGCUGCGGGGGAUAAAGGCGUCGGGAAUGUGGCUCCUCUGGAGUGUUAUAGCCCUUCGCGCAAUACCCUGCGGUGGACUGAGGUUCGCGCAUCUGCAAGGAUGCUGGCGUAAUGGUCAUCAACGACCCGUCUUGGAACACGGACCAAGGAGUCGUCUUCGUAUGCGAGUGUUCGGGUGUAAAACCCCUACGCGUAAUGAAAGUGAACGCAGGUGAGAGCUUUAGAAGAGAUCAUCGACCGAUCCUGAUGUUCUCGGAUGGAUUUGAGUAAGAGCAUACGGGGCCGGACCCGAAAGAAGUUGUACUAUGCCUGUAUAGGGUGAAGCCAGAGGAAACUCUUGU
rnacentral:rRNA from 1 species